rnacentral:rRNA from 1 species
AUCCAGACUCCUACGGGAGGCAGCAGUGGGGAAUAUUGGGCAAUGGGCGCAAGCCUGACCCAGCGACGCCGCGUGAGGGAAGACGGUCUUCGGAUUGUAAACCUCUUUCAGCAGGGAAGACAAAAGGACGGUACCUGCAGAAGAAGCCACGGCUAACUACGUGCCAGCAGCCGCGGUAAUACGUAGGUGGCAAGCGUUAUCCGGAAUUACUGGGUGUAAAGGGUGUGUAGGCGGGGCUGCAAGUCAGAUGUGAAAUCCUGCGGCUUAACCGCAGAACUGCAUUUGAAACUGUUGAUCUUGAGUACUGGAGAGGCAGACGGAAUUCCUAGUGUAGCGGUGAAAUGCGUAGAUAUUAGGAGGAACACCAGUGGCGAAGGCGGCCUGCUGGACGAUGACUGACGUUGAGGCUCGAAAGCGUGGGGAGCAAACAGGAUUAGAUACCCUAGUA